UUUCAGGGUUGCUGUGUGCAGCCCAAUUCUCUUCUUUCGGAUUUUAUAUUUCUAUUUUUUUAAUUAUAAACGUCUAAAUAUUUGGUUGAUGUCAUGGAAUGCUGAAAAUGAAUGCAAUAUAGACGAGUAUUUCAAAAACCUGGGAUAUUGAUAAGCAGCGAUAUAGAAAAGGCCUUACUAAUGCUCGGCGAUACUUUUCGAUUUCAAAGAAUUCCCUUCGGAAUCAAAACAAGUCCGUUCCUCUUAAAUGCCACAAUCAAGAACUAGAGAUUCCAUAAAACAUACACUUAUGUAUGUAGACAAUGUAUUCUACAGAGAUUUCCCGCAAGCAAUGGACCUCCAAUCAAUCGCUGAUGACUGGCAAACAAUUUUUUUUCGAUUUUUUUUCAAUGUGUUAUAUGUAUAUUAUUUGAAAAAUAAAAAAACUUGAUAUAUUUUUCUAAAUGAACCUUUGACGGU
ensembl:lincRNA linc-45 ncRNA